UUGUAUUUGUGUCGUUCCCUCUUGUUCUCUGUUCUCUGGUCCAGUUCUGCUCUUCCUGUUCUCACCAAACUUUCUAACCACAUGGUGAGUUUCAUUGUACUCAGAACGAUCUCACUGAAAUGCUACUUUUCAGAUUGUGUCUUAAAUCAAGUGGAGGACGAGACGAGCGAUGCCGACGAGAUCAGCAGAAGACCAGAAGAGGAGAAGCUGAGAGGUCGGCGUGUUUGACCCGAAGAAGGAACAGAAGUUCUUGUUCCAGGUGUGUGCGAAAGCUGUGAUGAGGAUGAGUUGGAUGAGGAUGAAGGCAAAUCCUCCCACCACACCGACGUAGUGCCAGGCUGAGAGAGAGAGAGGCGGGAGAAAAAAAAAAAAAGAAGAACCAUGAUCCAUCGUUUGAUUUAUCUCAGGGAAGUGAGGAGGCACAAACAGAGCGAGAGAGAGAGAGAAGCAGGAGAGGACGAGCUGUAAAUCACAGAGCGGCUGUGAUAUCAGCAGGGAGACGACCUGAGGCGAGCGGUCAGGAGCGGAUCUCUGCUGCCCUCUGGCAGGAGGAGGAAGGAGGUGCUACACCAGCCACAACAUCAGCAUCAUCAUCAUCACCAUCAUCAUCAUCAGCAUCAUCACAUUCAGGAGCCAGUUUCUCACCGUGGAGGAAGGACUCUGUGGGGAUGAAGAAGGCAGCGGUGCACAUCCCGAGCAGAGUGAUUAACUUCAGGAACCAGAAGCUGCAGGUCGACAUGAGGAGAGAUGAAAGAUGUCACAGUUCAGUUUAAAAAAGUCUAAAAACAAAAACUUAAACUAAUAUCUUCUCUCUCGAAUUUGCAUUAAUUUAUUAUCUCUUGUGUUCUUGUUCUGCUUCUUCUUUCCAUGCACAAACAUCUGUGGGUAUCCCAUCUUCAACUGCACAUUUCCUUGUUUUAUAAUCAUCUUUUUAAAAAGUGCAAUGAGCAAUUUCAUGUCUGAAACCACAUCAAUCACUGUUCCCAGAACACCAUGACAGCAGAAUCCCAGCGACAGGUGGACCAGAGAUUUAGAAAAUAACGACAACAACAAAAAUUCGAAGACUGAGUUUUCUGCAUUCUGGUGACAUUUAAAGAAUGAAAAUAACAAGAUGUGUUUUCAUGUCAUUCCCAUCAUUCAGUGGGUCGGUGAUGAGUUGUUGAAAAUCAGUGAAAUGAAACUCAACAAUCAACAGCUGUACGCUGCAUUCACUUGCUCCUCGGACAAUCCCACUUCACGAGGUCAGAAGUCGUUCCUCUGGCUCCGGUGUGUUCAUAUAUGUCAAGUCGCAAUGUGGAAGCAGUACCGAAGAAAUUUAGCAUUUUAUCGUGCAGUUUGUUUCAGAAAAACACUAACAGCUGUUUCUGGGAUUUGACAGGGACAUGUUACCGUCAGCCCAAUUUUACUUUCAUCCGCCAUCUUUCAGCGUAACAUGACAUCAACUCGUGAACUGAGAUUUUUCUCAGACUUUCCUAUUUGUUGAAUUUGCCCUGUCGUUUUCCUGAUUGUUGCAAUGCCACGUAAACAUACUGUUACCUAUUGUAUCCUUUAAACGUUGAAAGGUUUAAAGUUUCUGAGUGCAACACAACUGUUGGAAAAUCAAAUCCCAGGUGUGC